CCCCUCUCAGGGUUGCAUCUGGAGAGUUUCCAGUACUCCACCAGUCUUGGUUAUGGGAGGGAGAGUUCACGCAGAGGCACACCCAUACUAUUCCUAGCUUGGGCAGUGGUUAGCGAGUGGAAGGCAAUCUGCUACAAAU